rnacentral:misc_RNA from 1 species
GAUGAGAACGCAGCGAAAUGCGAUAAGUAAUGUGAAUUGCAGAAUUCAGUGAAUCAUCGAAUCUUUGAACGCACCUUGCGCCCUUUGGCCAUUCCGAAGGGCAUGCCUGUUUGAGUAUCAUGAACACCUCAACUCUUCAUGGUUUUCCAUGAUGAGCUUGGACUUUGGGGGUCUUGCUGGCCUGUGGGUCGGCUCCUCUCAAAUGAAUCAGCUUGCCGGUUUUUGGUGGGCAUCACAGGUGUGAUAACUAUCUACGCUUGUGGUUUUCCACCAGGGUAACCUUCAGCAGUGGAGGUUCACUGGAGCUUACAAACGUCUCUCCUCUGUGAGGACAGCCCUUUGAAUGUUUGAUCUCAAAUCAGGUAGGACUACCCGCUGAACUUAAGCAUAUCAAUAAGCGGAGGA